rnacentral:tRNA from 1 species
UGGCUCAGAUGGUAAAAGCAUCUGCCUACAAUGCAGGAGACCUGGGUUCAAUCCCUG